AUGCUUCUCCUAAAGACUAAGCCAUGCAUGCCUUCGAAUAGAAGAGCUUUCUCUCUGAAUCUGCGAACGGCUCCGCACACCAGUUGUAAACUAUAGCGAGCAAACCUUGGCUAGUGGUGCUUUACUGCGCUCUAACCUCGGUUUUAUACGGAUACCCUUGGUAAUUCUGAGGCUAAUACAAGAACGUAAAACCUAGCUGACUGGGCAACCGGGAUGCUAUGGGGUUGUGUGACGCUUAACUGCAACACCAACCAGGGAGAUAGCACACGAUCAGACCACCAUACCAAACGAAUUCGGCUUUUACCGAGUACCCUCUCGAGGGGAAAACGUAUCGGCUUUACUCGGGUGGCUCUCGCUCUGUGCUUCUGACCUAUCAACUAGAUGGCAGCGUAAGGGACAUGCUAUAGUAACAACGGGUACAGAGGAUAAGGGUUCGAUCCUGGAGAGUGGGCCUGAGAGAUUGCUCAUACUUCUAAGGAAGGCAGCAGGCGCGCAAAGUUCCCAAUGGGUAAAACCUGAGGGCGUUAGGGGACAUAUGAAUGUUUGCCAUAUGGUGAACAAUUCAAAUGGGACUGU
rnacentral:rRNA from 1 species